AUCAAAAAAAUAAAUCAGAAGUAAAAAAAAAAACUUAAGGGAGUCCCUUAUAUAGUAUACCGCUUCAUGUUCUAAGAGACGCUACGUGUCUUAAUCUUGUUGGUCGAACUAAAUAAUACCAAAGAAAAAAAAAAUUCUCUACACUCGAUUUGUUUUCCUCUCUCUCUUUCUCUGCGAUUGAAUACAACGAAGAAAUUUGGAAUCAGAAGAAGGGUUUGGAAUCGAAGGAUACUUGAAUCAGAGGAGACUGGGUCGGAGGAGAUGCAUAGCGGAGGAGAUUGACUGCGGAGGCCAAUCGCGAUAGAUUGAAUCAUCGUUUCUUCCCCUCUCCCUCUCUCUCGAAUCUCUCCGAUUUUACAAUCGGAAAAGAGCCGUCUCACAAUCGAUUAGAAACGGGUGGAGAUUGAAUCAAUUGGAAUCGGAGGUGACUGAGUUGGAGGAGAUUGAAUCAUAUGAUAAGAGUUCCAUGGCCAUACCAGUGGGGAGCACCAUCGUUUGAUGCCGGUGAAGCCUUUGCCAUGAUGAUGGUUUCUUUUGUUGCUGUUGUUGAAGUUUGUUUCACCGUGUAAAUUAGAUUACAUAAAUAUUAGAUUUUAUGUUUUGCCUCAGGGCGAGCAAUUGCUCAAUUUAUCUAAGGUUGUGCCUCAACUAUGUUGAUUUCUCGUUUAGGGAGUUGCAAUUUGUCUAAGGCUGUGCCUCAAUUUAUCUAAGGCUGUGUAGUGACUAUAAUAUAAAAGGUACAUGUGGUGUCUUCAACUUGUUCUGUGAUUUCAGGUUUUCAACAGCUGAUUCAAACAAAUGAACGAAGGAGUUAAUGAGUGACGAAUCAGAAUUAAGUUUUUUAAGUUGGAUUUCACAUAGAGCGACUUAGAGGAUGAAGAAGAUGGAAGAAAUUCUGAUAACAACAAAGAAGGAGCCAUACACUUUAAGGCUUGUCUUGGUCACCGUUUGUUUUUGCUGCAGGCUUGGCUUGGUCACAUUUUAAUCUUGGGUCUGAUUGGUUGCUGUUUGAUUUUUCGACAUGCUUGGCUUUUCCUAGCUAAAAAAUAAUCGAUGGCAACAUGAUUGUAUAAUUUAAGAGUACAUUGUUCUUGUUCUAUUUAUCUUGUAGUAAUAUCCUUUGGUAUGCUUGACAAAUUUGAUUUUAUUUGGCCAUGAAUGAUUAAUUGUACUUCUAAAUUGCAAUUAAUCA